CCUUUCUUUUCCUUUCCUUUUCUUUUCUUUCCUUUCCUUUCCUUGAAAAGGCCAGAUGCUUUUUAUUCACUGUGAAAGAUACAAAUAUACUGCAGAAAGCAUGUGCAAUAAAAGCCUAAGGAUACUUUACUUGAAACACUGAAUAAAUUCUGUUUCAGUGCUAUCCUAUCCCUUUGAAUCUCACCGUAUGUUUUCCCAGGGUUUCUAUCUCUGCAUUUUGUAUUUACUGUGCACUCUAGCAUGUUCAACAGUGCCCCAAGCAAUAUAUAGGAUUUCAAGCAAAUGGAAGGUGCACUGUGUCCCCAUCAGGACAAUGGGGCUACUGAGUAGCAAGUGAACAGGGCUGGGCAGGGAGACGCUGACACUGGAUGGUCCAGCUCUGCAUCCUUCCAAGAGCAACGAUGGAGAGGGAAGUGGGAACUGCCUCUCUGCACAAGUUCAGGCUUAUGGGCGAUAAUAGGACAUCUGCAAAAUCUGAACAGUUUCUUGAUGGGAGAAUCGCUGUCUUAAUCUCACUUUCACUUUUAUUAUUUGCCUUAAUUCUUU
rnacentral:lncRNA from 1 species